rnacentral:rRNA from 1 species
UACGUAGGGCGCAAGCGUUGUCCGGAAUUAUUGGGCGUAAAGAGCUCGUAGGCGGUUUGUCGCGUCUGCCGUGAAAACCCGAGGCUUAACCUCGGGCCUGCGGUGGAUACGGGCAGACUAGAGGUAGGUAGGGGAGAAUGGAAUUCCCGGUGUAGCGGUGAAAUGCGCAGAUAUCGGGAGGAACACCGGUGGCGAAGGCGGUUCUCUGGGCCUUACCUGACGCUGAGGAGCGAAAGCGUGGGGAGCGAACAGG